UGGCUCAGUGGUAAAGAAUCUGCCUGUAAUGCAGGAGACCCAGGUUCAAUCCCUGG
rnacentral:tRNA from 1 species